rnacentral:snRNA from 1 species
UCGCUUUGGCAGCGCAUAUACUAAAAUUGAAACGAUACAGAGAAGAUUAGCAUGGCAACUGUGCAAGGAUGACAUGCAAAUUUGUGAAGCAUUCCAUGUUUAA